AGGAUGAACGCUGGCGGCGUGCUUAACACAUGCAAGUCGAACGAUGAACCUCACUUGUGGGGGGAUUAGUGGCGAACGGGUGAGUGACACGUGAGUAACCUGCCCUUGACUCUGGGAUAAGCCUGGGAAACCGGGUCUAAUACUGGAUACGACCUUCCCGCGCAUGCGGUGUUGGUGGAAAGCUUUUGCGGUUUUGGAUGGACUCGCGGCCUAUCAGCUUGUUGGUGGGGUAAUGGCCUACCAAGGCGACGACGGGUAGCCGGCCUGAGAGGGUGACCGGCCACACUGGGACUGAGACACGGCCCAGACUCCUACGGGAGGCAGCAGUGGGGAAUAUUGCACAAUGGGCGCAAGCCUGAUGCAGCGACGCCGCGUGAGGGAUGAAGGCCUUCGGGUUGUAAACCUCUUUCAGUAGGGAAGAAGCCGGCCUUUGGGUUGGUGACGGUACCUGCAGAAGAAGCGCCGGCUAACUACGUGCCAGCAGCCGCGGUAAUACGUAGGGCGCAAGCGUUAUCCGGAAUUAUUGGGCGUAAAGAGCUCGUAGGCGGUUUGUCGCGUCUGCCGUGAAAGUCCGGGGCUUAACUCCGGAUCUGCGGUGGGUACGGGCAGACUAGAGUGCAGUAGGGGAGACUGGAAUUCCUGGUGUAGCGGUGAAAUGCGCAGAUAUCAGGAGGAACACCGAUGGCGAAGGCAGGUCUCUGGGCUGUAACUGACGCUGAGGAGCGAAAGCAUGGGGAGCGAACAGGAUUAGAUACCCUGGUAGUCCAUGCCGUAAACGUUGGGCACUAGGUGUGGGGGACAUUCCACGUUUUCCGCGCCGUAGCUAACGCAUUAAGUGCCCCGCCUGGGGGAGUACGGCC
rnacentral:rRNA from 1 species